AUUGUUUCUAUGGCUUGAAGGGCUUAUGUCAUAUAUGUUAUAUAUGGUGUAAACUCCAUCACUAUGAAGUUUCUGGCAAGCGGUGAAUUUCAUCGUAGGGGCAGAUUAAAAGUGAAUUAUUAGCUUUGCAAGAAGGUGCAAAAAAAUAUUCAAGAUGUUUCAGCAUAACAUGUUCGAUAGCCACAAUUUUUUGCUCGAUAUGACCCGUAAAACACCCGAAAAUGAGCUUGAUUUAAUUCGAGACGAUGAAUUUGAGACCAAAUCGGGUGCUGAUAUCAUGGAAGGUGGUGCGUCUGGAGAUGAUCAAGAUCCUAAUAAACGUCCCAAGAAGAA
rnacentral:misc_RNA from 1 species